rnacentral:rRNA from 1 species
AUGCGGCACCAAAGCACGCGUGUGAUCUUCGCCGGACGGGAAACACUUGGCUGGGUCAAUCAUUGGCAUGGCAUUCUUCUGUGCAACGUGCUUGACCACCGUCCGGUCAUGCGUUUGAUCCAAUGGCCUGUUAGAAUUCCCCGCAAACAGGUGUCGCGGUUCGGCAUGGGAGUCGACAAUAUCUACCCACAGCCGUUCCGCGAUGUCACAAUAAGCAAUGGCGUGAUCAGGUUCGUCGAGCUGAAAUCUUGUCGGCGUAGUGACACCCACAAUGAGAAGGGGGUCAUUGGCCAAGGCUGGACGGUCACCACAUGGAGCAGGGGGGUCUGCUCAAAGAAGUGGAACAAAAGGUUCACUGUCAAGGCCGAUAACAUGCCUGCCACACGUUCAAGUUACCCUAACGUAUCGGGUGGCAAGAGGUUGAGCUGGGACAAGGUGGUUCACGGUGGGCCCACUCUGAGCUUGUGUGACGAUGAUGUUGUCUACAUCAUGGCUAGAUUGGACAUUCGUCCUGCUAUUGCAUGGAUGCUUGCCAUUAACAUCAGAGAGGGAAUACUAGAAGCGGUCAAGCAGUGCUCUAUUGAAAAGAUGCCCGGUCUUGAACCAACUUAUGUUCAGUGUGCAUUGUCCGACUACCUCAAGCAGCGGAAAAGGUGA